GCCAAAACCACGCGAUCUUGGAGUUUCAUUGUUUUGCUGCUCCUUCUUUCGAUUGUAUAAAUAGGAGCAGUGUGGGCCUUCCUAAGGAGGAAGAAGAGUGCAGGGACACAUUAACUUUAAAACAUCAGUUUUAUCCUGAUACUAAAACAGUGAAAGACCUGGAAAGAAGAGAGAGCUACGGACCAAUCUCCUUCAUGAACAUAGAUGCAAAAAUUUUGAACAAAAUCAGGCACGGGCAGGCUUGCUUCGGCUGUUGCUCUAAGUGAUGGCGGAUUGCUGGAGAAGUCAUGUCUAGAAUCUGUGCUGUUGCCUCUGACAGCACUGUGAUUCCAGGUUCGGUUACUGUUCUUCAGUAAAUAGGCCAAAGAAUUCCAAAGGUGAAUGAAUUCAGAAAUGUAAGAAAGCAACAUCGAAAACAACACACAGGAGGUGGCAAAGGAGUACUCUAUUUUGUUUGUAUUUUUAUUAGCCAAGUCUCUUAUUUAAUUGGAUGCCAACUUUUGAAGAGACCACGUUUAGCUUUUACUAGGUAACGAGGAUAGUCCAAGAGAUCCUACAUCACAGAGCUGCCUGAUAAUAAUGCAGAUUCCCGGACUCCAACCCCCAACCUACUGAAUCAGAAUCUUUUAUGGUGGGACCUGGGAAUCUGCAUUUCAAACUAGCUUCUCAUGUGAUUCUUAUACUAGAAUUUGAGAAUUCUAGACUAGGCCUUAACUUUCAACAAAUAAUUGCUGAAUGCUGGUACUUAGAUUCUAAUGACAUAUGUCUGUAAAAGCCUGUUGACCUGUUAACCCACUUCCAAAGCAGGAAGUGGGUUAAUAAGUGUGAGUGCAACUUCCCCUAUAGACCUCACCUUGUGCUUUGUGCUCCAUCUCUCCUCAGGUGGUGCUUGGCACUAACUGCUUCCUUCACUUUCCUCUUCUCUACGUGCAAGGAGCCUGAAGGGUGACUAAAAACGGCACACCUCCAGAUUCCUGGUGUGAAAAUUAAUAAAGGAAACCUCAACUAAGAGUGGAGUGGGGGAGGCCUCUAGAGGGAGCCCUCAUGCCCUACCACUUGUGCCAGUCAGCCCAGAUGGGAAGCGUUAUCCCUAACAUCUCCGACAGGAAAGUCUCUCUACUACCCUGGCGGGAGAAAGGGAGAUUUCUGUUAGCCCAGCAACAAGCGCAGCCAAUGGAAAACACCCCAGCUCAGCCAAUGGGCAGCCGUUGUCACCCUGAGCUCUUACUUUCCUCAAGGAACUUUCAUUUUUCCUUUGUUAAUGACUUCCUUUCCCCACUGUCCUUUCUAUAAAAGCUUUCCAUUUUGCGUAACUCCUUGGGGCAUCUCUGCUUGCUAGAUUCCUGAAUCAUUUGGUAAAGACAAUUAGAUCUUCCAGUAUACUCAGUUGAAUUUUGUUUUUUGACACUAGAAAAGCACUUCCUCCCAUCUUCCCUGGUAGUGCUCUAGGCAGCUCCUGGAGCCCCUGGCAAGAUGAAAUCCCCCACAGCCUCAAAGGGAACCCGACUUGCACAAAGCCCACAAGCCCCACCCUUUCAAGGCUUUAUUAUUUCAAUGAUUAUACAAGCAUACCUUGUAACUACAUUAACAGCAAGACCGUCCAGGGCAUUCUCUGAUCUUCCAACAGGAACCCAGUUUUUGUUUUUCCCAGCUUUCAAUCAAAUUUAAUCUGUGUGCAGAUUCUUUACCCCAAGUACGUUUUAGACAGUUUUCCCACCCCCAAGUCCUUUUCAGGUUUAAUCUCUGUGUUAUUUUCCUCUCCUUCUUCUUGUUAUUGCUGCUUAAACUCACAAGAGUGUAAUUAAUUUGGUCUUUGUAGCUCCCAAAUGACUAUUUGGGGGUGAAUUAGCCAUGCUCAGUAGCUAGAACUGGGGAUUGAGCUACGUUCAUUCAGCCAUCCCUUUCUGCCAGAUCGUUAGUUAGCAUGUCCGGUGCCAGAGCCAGCCAGGUUCAAGGAGGCUAGAGCUGAGGGAGGGGAAUCCCCAAGGUUCAUGGGGAGGACACCGCAAAGUAGGGACACAUCCCAUCCCCUUAGGGGAAAACCACAAGCUGCAAGGUGCCAAAAGCAGUGAGGGGUUGUGGCAGAGCCCUCGGCUGCGUUACACAUCCUUGUAGACUACUGCCAUUGCUAGCACACUCUCACGCAGGGCCACUCCUGCCCUCUAAGGGGGGAGGUUGGUCACCCAGGUGUAAUGUCUUCUGCAUUUCUUUCAAACCGUGGGCGCUUUAAAAAACAUCCAAUAGGGGCCGGCUCCGUGGCUGAGUGGUUAAGUUCACGCGCUCCGCUGCGACGGCCCAGUGUUCGGAUCCUGGGCAC